rnacentral:rRNA from 1 species
UCAAAUUGAGAAGAGCACGAGGCGGAUGCCUUGGCACAUGACGCCGAUGAAGGACGCGAGCAGGCGAUAACGACGGUGAGCUGCAAAAAGCUUUGACCCGUCGGUUUCCGAAUGGAGCAAUCCGGCAGGAGAAGAUCCUGUCAUCCUAACGCCAAUCCAUAACGUUAGGAGGGGAGACCCGGAGAACUGAAACAUCUCAGUACCCGGAGGAAAAGAAAGAAAACUCGAUUCCCUCAGUAGCGGCGAGCGAACGGGGAACAGGCCAACAGUGAAUCACGAUUCUGAAAUCUAGCGGAAGUUUCUGGAAAGGAACACCAAAGACGGUGACAGUCCGGUACGCGAAAGAAGAAGGAAUCAUCACGAAAGAGUACCAUCGAACACGAGAAAUUUGGUGGGAACAUGGGAGGACCACCUCCUAAGCCUAAAUACGAUCAUGUGACCGAUAGUGAACUAGUACCGUGAGGGAAAGGUGAAAAGAACCCCGGAAGGGGAGUGAAAAGAAUCUGAAACCUUGUGCUUACAAGCAGAUAGAGCCCAUUUAUGGGUGAUAUCGUACUUUUUGUAGAACGGGCCAGCGAGUUAUGUUUACAAGCGAGGUUAAGCCUUUUAGGGGCGGAGCCGGAGGGAAACCGAGUGUGAAUAGCGCGAUAGUUUGUGGACAUAGACCCGAAACCGGGUGAUCUAGCCAUGAGCAGGUUGAAGUUGAAGUAAAAUUCAAUGGAGGACCGAACCGGGAGCGGUUUAAAACGCUUCGGAUGACUUGUGGUUAGGGGUGAAAAGCCAAUCGAACUCGGAGAUAGCUGGUUCUCCUCGAAAUCGCUUUAGGGCAAGCCUCAUUGUGAGAUGGAGGGAGGUAGAGCACUGACUGGUCGCAGGGCACUCUGUGUUACUAACACCUAUCAAACUUCGAAUUCCGUUCAUUACCAAUGGGAGUGAGACGAUGUGGGAUAAGCUUCAUCGUCAAAAGGGAAACAGCCCAGAUCAUCAGCUAAGGUCCCAAAAUGACGUUCAGUGGAAAAGGAUGUUAUUUUACUUGGACAACCAGGAUGUUGGCUUAGAAGCAGCCAUACAUUUAAAGAGUGCGUAAUAGCUCACUGGUCGAGUGAAGUUGCGCCGAAGAUACACGGGGCUAAACGUCAUACCGAAGCUAUGGGAUGGAUCGAGACGAAAAGUAUUUUAUGAAAGCUUUCCAAAAAUUGAUGAGAAAUAUCGCACACAAAGAGUCAAAUUUCAACAAACAUGAGAUACGACAGAAAAAAGCCAAAUGGUAUAAGGUUAUUCCAAGAUAUCAUUCAUCAAUUUCAUUGGGCUAAUAAAGGAAGGCGUAUUCAUAGAAUACUUUUUGUCUCGACCAUCGGUAGAGGAGCAUCGACUACACAUUGAAGCAUCAAGGGUAACCUAUUGUGGAGCGUAGUCGAGAGAGAAUGCUGGCAUGAGUAGCGAGAAGGUGAGUGAGAAUCUCACCCGUCGAAAGCCGAAGGGUUCCUGAGCAAGGCUCGUCCUCUCAGGGUAAGUCGGGACCUAAGCUGAGGCCGAAAGGCGUAGGCGAUGGACAACCGGUGGAAAUUCCGGUACAGUAAAGAAUCGUUUGAGAGAAGUGUUGACGCAGGAAGCUACGCAAAGCGCGUUGAAGGUAUGCGCGUCCAACGAAGUAGGCUAGUCCGGCAGGCAAAUCCGUCGGAUGGUGCUGAGUUCGGAUGGGGAUCGAAAUUUAAGUAGAGAAGUUGCCGAUGCUACACUGCCAAGAAAAGACGCUAUCGAGAUUUUUUGCUCCCGUACCAAAACCGACACAGGUAGGCAGGAAGAAAAUUCUAAGACGCGCGGAAGAACCUUUGUUAAGGAACUCGGCAAAAUGACCCCGUAACUUCGGGAGAAGGGGUGCCAUCUUCGGAUGGCCGCAGAGAAUCGGCCCAAGCGACUGUUUACCAAAAACACAAGUAUCUGCGAAGCCGCAAGGCGAAGUAUAGGUGCUGACACCUGCCCGGUGCUGGAAGGUCAAGGGGAGUUGUUAGAAGCAAUUCGAAGCGACGAACUUAAGCCCCAGUAAACGGCGGCCGUAACUAUAACGGUCCUAAGGUAGCGAAAUUCCUUGUCGGGUAAGUUCCGACCCGCACGAAAGGUGUAAC